UGUUAUGUAUAAAGUACUUUAUGUAGUUCCUUUUAAAUACAAAAUGCAAAUUGUAAUGCUGACGAAGACAGGCGAACACAUCGCCGGUUCCCGCCAAUAGGUUCAUUUUAGUUAGUGAACUACCUGGCAAAGAAGUCUUGCAUCAAUCUAAUCUGUUGGGACCAACGUGCUAAAUUUCACCUGCAUGAGCUAUUGUCACAGAGUACUUUGCCUCCAUGCAGCUGAAUUCCACUAAUGCAAUAUAGAAAUUGGCUGAUUCUAAGUGUGUGUGUGUGUGUGUGUGUGUGUGUGUGUGUGUGUGUGUGUGUGUGUGUGUGUGUUGCCUGCCAAAAUAACUAUUCUUGAUUAUUCAUUAUAAGUUAUUAGCUGUCAAAUGUUGUUGUUGGCGUGAUGAGAAUGACCACUUGCUUGCUUGACAUUUCUGAAUGCUUAUUGAACAGAAAGCUGACUGAGAACUGGAGCCUUACAACAGAGAAAAUCCUCUAUCGCCCCAAAAGAGAAGACGGGUGACCUUCUGAACAAUCUUGAAGAUCUCUCAGCAGACAGACGAGGAGACAUCGCUUUGCUUCUGCUACCUGUGGUGAUCCCCCCCCCCCGGCACCUACAAAAUCUGGAGAAAGAUGGUCCGCCCCAGCUACGCCGAAUCUACAAAAGCUUUCAUAGAUGAGCAGCCUGUUGGAACAAACAUCGCUGAAUACCUUACGAAAAGGACAAGCACAGAGGUCCCACAUGUGCUUCUUCUUGAGGACAGGCAUCAGUUUUCACAAGCCUUUGUUAUAGUGCAUGGACAUGCCUUGGAGCACCCAUCUCUUCUUGGGGCAGUAGAUGCCUGCUUUAAGGCUUUUUAUGUUUUUGAUGUACAGUAUCCUAGAUCUUGUGCACAAGUGUGGGAGUUUUUGCAGACGAUAUAUGGUAUCCCUGGACAUGUUAGAUCAUCAGUACAGAUGAUGCGAGCACAGUUUGCGGCACAGUGAACUGCAAACUGCUCGGGAGGCCGAUUACACACUGCCGGCGUGGCGUGGCGUCUGUUGCGUGUCAGCUGCGUGGAUUUUUCUAUGUCUUUACACAC